rnacentral:rRNA from 1 species
UACGUAGGGUGCGAGCGUUGUCCGGAAUUAUUGGGCGUAAAGGGCUCGUAGGCGGUUUUGUCACGUCGGGAGUGAAAACUCAGGGCUUAACCCUGAGCCUGCUUCCGAUACGGGCAGACUAGAGGUAUGCAGGGGGAGAAUGGAAUUCCUGGUGUAGCGGUGAAAUGCGCAGAUAUCAGGAGGAACACCGGUGGCGAAGGCGGUUCUCUGGGCAUUACCUGACUGAGGAGCGAAAAGUGUGGGGGAGCGAAACAGG